CCUACGGGAGGCAGCAGUGGGGAAUAUUGCACAAUGGGGGAAACCCUGAUGCAGCGACGCCGCGUGAGCGAAGAAGUAUUUCUGUAUGUAAAGCUCUUUUAGCAGGGAAGAAAAUGACGGUACCUGACUUAGAAGCUCCGGCUAAAUACGUGACAGCAGCCGCGGUAAUACGUAGGGAGCAAGCGUUAUCCGGAGUUUCUGGGUGUAAAGGGAGCGUAGGCGGUGAGGUAAGUCAGAUGUGAAAGGCAAGGGCUCAACCCUGGGACUGCAUUGGAAACUGUUUAACUGGAGUGUAGGAGAGGUAGGUGGAAUGCAUAGUGUAGCGGUGAAAUGCGUAGAUAUUAGGAAGAACACCGAUGGCGAAGGCAGCUUACUGGACGAUGACUGACGCUGAGGCUCGAAAGCGUGGGGAGCAAACAGGAUUAGAUACCCGGGUAGUC
rnacentral:rRNA from 1 species